AGCAGCCGCGGUAAUUCCAGCUCCAAUAGCGUAUAUUAAAGUUGUUGCAGUUAAAAAGCUCGUAGUUGAAUUUCGGGAUCAAUAUAUUGGUCGUGCCUUUGGUAUGCACUGGUAUUAUUGAUUUCUACCUUCUGACGAACCAUGAUGUCAUUAAUUUGGUGUUAUGGGGAAUCAGGACUGUUACUUUGAAAAAUUAGAGUGUUUAAAGCAAGCACACGCUUGAAUACAUUAGCAUGGAAUAAUGAAAUAGGACGUUUGAUCUUAUUUUGUUGGUUUCUAGGAUCGACGUAAUGAUUAAUAGGGAUAGUUGGGGGCAUUAGUAUUCAAUUGUCAGAGGUGAAAUUCUUGGAUUUAUUGAAGACUAACUACUGCGAAAGCAUUUGCCAAGGAUGUUUUCAUUAAUCAAGAACGAAAGUUAGGGGAUCGAAGACGAUCAGAUACCGUCGUAGUCUUAACCAUAAACUAUGCCGACUAGGGAUCGGAUGAUGUUAAUUUUUAUGACUC
rnacentral:rRNA from 1 species